AACGGGACGUCGUAGAGGGUGAGAAUCCCGUAUGCGACCGGCGACCCACCCCAUGUGAAGCCCCUUCGACGAGUCGAGUUGUUUGGGAAUGCAGCUCAAAGCGGGUGGUAAAUUCCAUCUAAAGCUAAAUACCGGCCAGAGUCCGAUAGCGCACAAGUAGAGUGAUCGAAAGAUGAAAAGCACUUUGGAAAGAGAGUCAAACAGUACGUGAAAUUGUUGAAAGGGAAGCGCUUUCGACCAGACCUGCCCCCGGGCGAUCAGCCGCCGACGACGCUCGGCGGUGCGCUCGCGCGGGAUCAGGCCAGCAUCGGUCCGGGCGGCGGGACAAAGGCCCCGGGAACGUGGCUCCCUUCGGGGAGCGUUAUAGCCCGGGGCGCCAUGCCGCCAGCCCGGACCGAGGACCGCGCUCCGGCUAGGAUGCUGGCGUAAUGGUCGUAAGCGACCCGUCUUGAAACACGGACCAAGGAGUCUAACAUCCAUGCGAGUGUUUGGGUGUCAAACCCGAGCGCGGAAUGAAAGUGAACGGUGGUGGGAACCCUCGCGGGCGCACCAUCGACCGAUCCCGAUGUUCUCGGACGGAUUUGAGUACGAGCAUGGCUGUUGGGACCCGAAAGAUGGUGAACUAUGCCUGGAUAGGGUGAAGCCAGAGGAAACUCUGGUGGAGGCUCGCAGCGGUUCUGACGUGCAAAUCGAUCGUCAAAUUUGGGUAUA
rnacentral:rRNA from 1 species